CUGCGGAAGGAUCAUUGUCGAAACCUGCCCAGCAGAACGACCAGUGAACAUGUUUUACACUCGAGCGUUGGGUAAUUACUCUUGCUCGAGCCAAGGGGUACCACCUGUUGGUUUUCUCUUGGCAUCUCAACGAACCCCGGCGCGAAAAGCGUCAAGGAAAUAAACAUAAUAUGAGCUCCCUCCUUUUGCCCGGUUUGCCGGUGCAUGAGUGUGGUGCCAUGUCCUAACAUUAAACGACUCUCGGCAACGGAUAUCUCGGCUCUCGCAUCGAUGAAGAACGUAGCGAAAUGCGAUACUUGGUGUGAAUUGCAGAAUCCCGUGAACCAUCGAGUCUUUGAACGCAAGUUGCGCCUGAGGCCUUUGGCUGAGGGCACGUCUGCCUGGGCGUCACGCAUYGCAGCCCCCCACACCCACUCUUAGUGGAAUGGGAGGAAGAUGGUUUCCCGUGCCUCAUCGGGCGCGGUUGGCCUAAAAUUGGAGCCUAAGACAUUGAGUUGUCGUGGCAAUAGGUGGUGAACAAGGCCUCGGCCGUGCAAGCAACCUGUCACGCGACCCUUUGACAAGCGAAGCUCGUAGGACCCUAUGAUGUUGCCUUUUGGUGACACAAACGUUGCGACCCCAGGUCAGGCGGGGC
rnacentral:rRNA from 1 species